rnacentral:rRNA from 1 species
CCUACGGGAGGCAGCAGUCGAGAAUUUUUCACAAUGGACGAAAGUCUGAUGGAGCGACGCCGCGUGGAGGAUGAAGGUUUUCGGAUUGUAAACUCCUGUCACUGCAGAACAAGGGUGUGUUUGUGAAUAGCAAGCGCAUUUGAUGGUAUGCGGAGAGGAAGUGACGGCUAACUCUGUGCCAGCAGCCGCGGUGAU